rnacentral:rRNA from 1 species
CCGUAACUGGUUCUGAGAGGAUGAUCAGUCACACUGGAACUGAGACACGGUCCAGACUCCUACGGGAGGCAGCAGUGGGGAAUAUUGGACAAUGGGCGAAAGCCUGAUCCAGCCAUGCCGCGGUGUUGUGAAGAAGGUCUUCGGAUUGUAAAGCACUUUAAGUUGGGAGGAAGGACAUUAACCUAAUACGUUAGUGUUUUGACGUUACCGACAGAAUAAGCACCGGGCUAACUCUGUGCCAGCAGCCGCGGUAAUACAGAGGGUGCAAGCGUUAAUCGGAAUUACUGGGCGUAAAGCGCGCGUAGGUGGUUUGUUAAGUUGAAUGUGAAAUCCCCGGGCUCAACCUGGGAACUGCAUCCAAAACUGGCAAGCUAGAGUAUGGUAGAGGGUAGUGGAAUUUCCUGUGUAGCGGUGAAAUGCGUAGAUAUAGGAAGGAACACCAGUGGCGAAGGCGACUACCUGGACUGAUACUGACACUGAGGUGCGAAAGCGUGGGGAGCAAACAGGAUUAGAUACCCCUGGUAGUCCACGCCGUAAACGAUGUCAACUAGCCGUUGGGAGUCUUGAACUCUUAGUGGCGCAGCUAACGCAUUAAGUUGACCGCCCUGGGGAGUACGGCCGCCAAGGUUAAAACUUCACAUGAAUUGACUGGGGGCCCG